CCCAUCCCCUUCUUACCAUGCAAGUCGACGGCAGCACGGGNAGCAAUCCUGGUGGCGAGUGGCGAACGGGUGAGUAAUAUAUCGGAACGUGCCCAGUCGUGGGGGAUAACGCAGCGAAAGCUGUGCUAAUACCGCAUACGAUCUACGGAUGAAAGCGGGGGAUCGCAAGACCUCGCGCGAUUGGAGCGGCCGAUAUCAGAUUAGCUAGUUGGUGGGGUAAAGGCCCACCAAGGCGACGAUCUGUAGCUGGUCUGAGAGGACGACCAGCCACACUGGAACUGAGACACGGUCCAGACUCCUACGGGAGGCAGCAGUGGGGAAUUUUGGACAAUGGGCGCAAGCCUGAUCCAGCAAUGCCGCGUGCAGGAUGAAGGCCUUCGGGUUGUAAACUGCUUUUGUACGGAACGAAACGGUCUCUUCUAAUAAAGGAGGCUAAUGACGGUACCGUAAGAAUAAGCACCGGCUAACUACGUGCCAGCAGCCGCGGUAAUACGUAGGGUGCGAGCGUUAAUCGGAAUUACUGGGCGUAAAGCGUGCGCAGGCGGUUAUAUAAGACAGAUGUGAAAUCCCCGGGCUCAACCUGGGACCUGCAUUUGUGACUGUAUAGCUAGAGUACGGUAGAGGGGGAUGGAAUUCCGCGUGUAGCAGUGAAAUGCGUAGAUAUGCGGAGGAACACCGAUGGCGAAGGCAAUCCCCUGGACCUGUACUGACGCUCAUGCACGAAAGCGUGGGGAGCAAACAGGAUUANAUACCCUGGUAGUCCACGCCCUAAACGAUGUCNACUGGUUGUUGGGUCUUCNCUGACUCAGUAACGAAGCUAACGCGUGAANUUGACCGCCUGGGGAGUACGGCCGCANGNUGAACUCNANGAAUUGACGGGGACCNCNAA
rnacentral:rRNA from 1 species